UACGGAGGGUGCGAGCGUUGUCCGGAAUCACUGGGCGUAAAGGGCGCGUAGGCGGCGCGGGAAGUCAUCGGUGAAAGUUCAGGGCUCAACUCUGAAUCGGCCGGUGAUACUCUCGUGCUCGAGCACUGUAGAGGCAGGUGGAAUUCCGGGUGUAGCGGUGGAAUGCGUAGAGAUCCGGAAGAACACCGGUGGCGAAGGCGGCCUGCUGGGCAGUGGCUGACGCUGAGGCGCGAAAGCGUGGGGAGCAAACAGG
rnacentral:rRNA from 1 species